rnacentral:rRNA from 1 species
ACAGGGAUUGCCCUAGUAACGGCGAGUGAAGCGGCAACAGCUCAAAUUUGAAAUCUGGCGUCUUUGGCGUCCGAGUUGUAAUUUGCAGAGGGCGCUUUGGCAUUGGCAGCGGUCCAAGUUCCUUGGAACAGGACGUCACAGAGGGUGAGAAUCCCGUACGUGGUCGCUAGCCUUUACCGUGUAAAGCCCCUUCGACGAGUCGAGUUGUUUGGGAAUGCAGCUCUAAAUGGGAGGUAAAUUUCUUCUAAAGCUAAAUACUGGCCAGAGACCGAUAGCGCACAAGUAGAGUGAUCGAAAGAUGAAAAGCACUUUGGAAAGAGAGUUAAAAAGCACGUGAAAUUGUUGAAAGGGAAGCGCUUGCAGCCAGACUUGCCUGUAGUUGCUCAUCCGGGUUUUUACCCGGUGCACUCUUCUAUAGGCAGGCCAGCAUCAGUUUGGGCGGUUGGAUAAAGGUCUCUGUCAUGUACCUCUCUUCGGGGAGAACUUAUAGGGGAGACGACAUGCAACCAGCCUGGACUGAGGUCCGCGCAUCUGCUAGGAUGCUGGCGUAAUGGCUGUAAGCGGCCCGUCUUGAAACACGGACCAAGGAGUCUAACAUCUAUGCGAGUGUUUGGGUGUCAAGCCCGAGCGCGUAAUGAAAGUGAACGGAGGUGGGAACCCCUCGGGGUGCACCAUCGACCGAUCCUGAUGUCUUCGGAUGGAUUUGAGUAAGAGCAUAGCUGUUGGGACCCGAAAGAUGGUGAACUAUGCUUGAAUAGGGUGAAGCCAGAGGAAACUCUGGUGGAGGCUCGCAGCGGUUCUGACGUGCAAAUCGAUCGUCAAAUUUGGGCAUAGGGGCGAAAGA